AGGUGACCUGCGGAGGAUCAUUA
rnacentral:rRNA from 9 species